CAUAGUAGCAUGACCUAAGACCCAUAAGGAGAGACCUAGUCAAAGUACGCUUGGAUUAACCCACUAUCUCAUCGCUUGACGAGAUAGAGUUAUAACUCUCCCACAUAAUAUACGUAUUAUAUUUGGAAGAAUAAGAAUUUAAUGUGUUUUCUCUCUCCUAGACUCUUGUUUCUCUUUCCAUAAAAACACAUAGUAGCUCUUUGUACUGCGACGAGUGUGCGUAGUUCUAAUAAUUUUACUCCAUUGCUAAGAAUUAUUUAAGAAUAUUAAUGAAAACACUUAAUAGCCCUUUGUACUGUGACGAGUGUGCGUAGUUCUAAUAAUUUUACUCCAUUGCUAAGAAUUAUUUAAGAAUAUCAAUGAAAACACAUAAUAGCCCUUUGUACUAUGACGAGUGUGGAUAGUUCUAAUAGUUCAACUCCAUUGCUAAGAAUUAUUCAAAAAUAUCAAUAGAAACAUGUAUGAUCUAUGGAUUUGGUUUGAAUGAAAAGGUAUAUCAAAUCCAUUUAUUUCUGAGGCAUAAUAUUUCUUAUUUUUCCUACAAAACCAAAGCACAAAGGAGCAAAAUGAGAGACAAAAUAACUCGCAAGUUCAGAAGUCAAAUGAUUUUUGUCGUCUUGCACAUUUAGGUCUAGUUGCAGCUUAUUUCCAGUAACUAUGCAAGCCUGGCGCACUCCGAUACGAGUGCCUGCAACUUGAGCCUCUAAUUUGUUGUACUGAGAUUGCAGAGUCUCGGGAUCAAAUUCCCUAGCUUCUGGGAGUAAACUCUUCCCCAACUUGAUCUCUUGAAUUUCUUUCCUCAACUUCAUCUCCCAAAAUGUUUUCCGAUCCUCACUCAAAUCUGGGUGCAUAAGUUCGAAAUUCGAUUUCUUCAUAGCCUCGUUUUGCUUCUCCAGUUCCGAAAUCUGAUUCGCCAGCCCAAUCUCUUCUUGCGAUGUCUCCAUUUGCUUUUCAGAUAUAAAUCUCUUAGUCGUAGAGACAAGACAGAUAGCUUACUCGCUUCACUACACUAAUGGCCUAUGUCAGCGUUGGUCCUGCUGCUCAGGUUAGGGUUGUAGUGUAGUGCAGUGAAGUGAGUAAGCUAUCUGUCUUGUCUCUACGACUAGGAGAUUUAUAUCUGAAAAACAAAUGGAGAUAUCGCAAGAAGAGAUUGGGCUGGCAAAUCAGAUUUCAGAACUGGAGAAGCAAAACGAGGCUAUGAAGAAAUCGAAUUUCGAAUUUAUGCGUCCAGAUUUGAGUGAGGAUUAGAAAACAUUUUGGGAGAUGAAGUUGAGGAAGGAAAUUCAAGAGAUGAAGUUGGGGAAGAGUUUACUCCCAGAAGCUAGGGAAUUUGAUCCCGAGACUCUGCAAUCUCAGUACAACAAAUUAGAGGCUCAAGUUGCAGGCACUCGUAUCAGAGUGCGCCAGGCUUGCAUAGUUACUGGAAAUAAGCUGCAACUAGACCUAAAUGUGCAAGACGACAAAAAUCAUUUGACUUCUGAGCUUGUGAGUUAUUUUGUCUCUCAUUUUGCUCCUUUGUGCUUUGGUUUUGUAGGAAAAAUAAGAAAUAUUAUGCCUCAGAAAUAAAUGGAUUUGAUAUACAUUUUCAUUCAAACCAAAUCCAUAGAUCAUACGUGUUUCUAUUGAUAUUUUUGAAUAAUUCUUAGCAAUGGGGUAGAUCUAUUAGAACUAUCCACACUCGUCGCUGUACAAAGGGCUAUUAUGUGUUUUUAUGGAAAGAGAAACAAGAGUCUAGGAGAGAGAAAACACAUUAAAUUCUUAUUCUUCCAAAUAUAAUACGUAUAUUAUGUGGGAGAGUCAUAACUCUAUCUCGUCAAGCGAUGAGAUAGUGGGUUAAUCCAAGCGUACUUUGACUAGGUCUCUCCUUAUGGG